AGUUAGGAAAGGAGGACAGUUCUACCGAGACAGGUUGAAAAGAAAACAAGCUAGACACAGGUGAAGAUAGAAUGAGCCAAAGAUUGAGAAGGAUCCAGAAGAUUAGAACAGAUCGCUGUUGUUAGUUUAAGGCCAAGGAGAACGAUUCAGGGGUUAAGAGAAAAGUCUGAUUGAAUAUGUCAGGUGGGAGAGGAGUUUGAGCCAGAACAGCUGAGUUGAACCAGCCAGCCUAGAGCUCAGUAAGCUCGCAGGCCUGAGUCACCAAGCUGAGCGUCCUCACGUGGCCACACAGCUUCAAGCAAUGAGCAACGAGGAGAAAUCUGCCGAUCACCCAUUUUUAUUUGCUUCUCUUGCCAGCCUCGAAUAGAGUACAACACCCCAGUGCUACAGUGUGGUGGACUUAAAAGUCACGAGGACAAGUCUCUUCAGGGAGCCCAGGAGAAUCCACUAAAUAUCUUGAAGCCAUCCUAACAUGGUCUGUUGUGUCUCAAGCCUGUAAAUGUGAUUUUGGGGAGAGAUGCUGGCAAUACACCAUCAGCUGCAGAGAACGGUGAAGCCAUGUUGAAUUCAACGCCUAGACGAUAAGUUCUCAUUCUUGGAGUGUGUACAGAAACUCUCCAGGACCUUCCAGCUGUCCUCUUAGAAAUAAUCAUGUCUUUCAACAUCAAAGGGGAUGUGACAGAAAACGGUUUUUAUGUUUUUAAAUGUCUAAAAUAAAAGUCACAACAAAUAA